UCAAUCUUGCUCACAAGGUAUUCGAUAAAAUGCUAUUAGCAUAGAAUUAUCGUCGUUAUUACCGUUUCGUCAAAUGCAAAGUCUUGGACGCCCUCCAAAUGGGAAAAACGACUUCCUUCCAUUGGUUGCUUUUAGAGGACCCUCAGAAAAUCUUUAUGGAUUGAACACAUUAGCAUCAUCACCCCAUAGCUUUGUGUCACGGUGAACUAAAAGUGCCGGCAAGAAAAAUUGCACUCCAGCAGGCAAUGUUAGGUCUCCAACUUUUACAUAUUUUUGAACUUCUCGAGGAAGUGCAACUAUUGGCGGGUAUAACAACCAAGUUGUUGUUUCUGCUGGAGUAUUUCGUGUUUCUACCGGCUUUAGUUUUUGGGUUUGUUUUGGUGGGGUGCAGAGCACACUUGUUCAUUUAUGUACAGAGUGAUCUGCCAUUUUGGUGUACAGAAAAACAAAACUACUUGCUGAUGCAAUUUUUUGUAGCAAAGAAAUGAAAUGAGAAUUAGAAUUGAAAAUUGAGGAAAAAUUAGGAGAUGGGGAGUUAAGUGACAUUGAGAAACUAGCCAAGCAAUUCUCUAACAAGUGGCGGCAACUUGACAUCUUGAAGCGUUGAUUACAAAUACCGACUCUUCCUCCAUGGUAUUAGAGUCUCAUCAAGCAUACAAAGUUGACGCGUCUGAAACUGCCAAGGCUGUGAUAUCUUGCUUCAAUAAGUUGGGGGGUCUCUUUCGAUAUGGAUCAG